UGUGACCUGGGGCGCAGCAGUGAGGAAUAUUGGUCAAUGGGCGCGAGCCUGAACCAGCCAAGUCGCGUGAGGGAUGACGGUCCUACGGAUUGUAAACCUCUUUUGCCGGGGAGCAAGCGUGCGUUCGUGAACGCGCGUCGAGAGUACCCGGAGAAAAAGCAUCGGCUAACUCCGUGCCAGCAGCCGCGGUAAUACGGAGGAUGCGAGCGUUAUCCGGAUUUAUUGGGUUUAAAGGGUGCGUAGGCGGGAUGCCAAGUCAGCGGUAAAAAUGCGGUGCUCAACGCCGUCGAGCCGUUGAAACUGGG
rnacentral:rRNA from 1 species